CUCUUAUCUGAUUGGUCCGUUUCUUAUUCAUUCUCUCUCUGUCCUUCUUUCAAUAGAAGGAAACCUACGCAAAACUCUGAUCUUGAUUUCUUAUUUCAAUAUUUCAUUUUCCUCCCGCAUUAGUUACAAAGUUUAUGCUUAAGUGGGGGUUUCAAUUGUGUAAAAGUAUUCGGAUUUGGGCAAUUCAAAGAGAAAACGGUUUUAGUUUUGCGAAUUUGAUUUGAUUCGAUUCGAUUCAGGAUUGAUUUGAUUUGGUUUUGUAAAUCACAUGAAAAAUCUGUGGUAAAAAUAAA
rnacentral:lncRNA from 1 species